rnacentral:rRNA from 1 species
GGAUCAUUGUCGAAAUCGAACGGAAGAACGACCCGCGAAUCGUCAUUGCGUAGUAGACAGAGGCCGUGAGCACCUAACGCUCAUGGGCCUCGCGCCGCGUCGGCACGGGUGCACUCGAGACCCGCGUCGUACCGGCGGACAAACAACGUCAGCACGGAUCGUGCCAAGGAGCUGCAUGGAGAGAAUCGUCGUCCCACGCCUUUGGUAGUCCUCGACGCGGGGCGGGGGAUGUACGCAAUCUCUACUCAAGUCUAAACGACUCUCGGCAACGGAUAUCUCGGCUCUUGCAUCGAUGAAGAACGUAGCGAAAUGCGAUACUUGGUGUGAAUUGCAGAAUCCCGUGAACCAUCAAUUCUUUGAACGCAAGUUGCGCCCGAAGCCAUUCGGCCGAGGGCACGCCUGCCUGGGCGUCGUGAAUCCCCUUGCCCCUGGGCACCCGCAUGAGCAUUGGCGGGAUAUAUGCUCGGGCGCAGAAUAUGGUCUCCCGUGGGAUCGGCAUGCACGGCAUGUCGAGGUGCGGUUGGCCGAAAAUCGAGCAUGGCGGUGACGGGCACCACGGCGUUCGGUGGAUCGAACGAGAUUGGCUGCGUCGUGGGCUCGGCAUGCGGCGGGCUCCGGACUUUGAAUAUCCCCGAGUGCGAUCCCAGGUCAGGCGGGGCUACCCGCUGAGUUUAAGCAUAUCAAUAAGCGGAGGAAAAGAAACUAACGAGGAUUCCCUUAGUAGCGGC